GGAAGUCAUUGCAUUUAAGAAAAAAAUUUCAAUAUACAUUUUUGGUUUUUUUUUUUCGGAGAAGACACAUUUUUGCCUUGUUGAUAUUUAUAAAUAAAAAAACUGGUUUUAAUAAUAUGAUUAGUAGUGGUCCCAUCGGGUUCUAAGACUGUGCCACACUAAAUUAUGCUAAAUGGCGCAUCCAGUGGCCCACCGGCCCUUGCCAUGAAAACUGUGAAAAGUAGAGAGGAGAGAACCAUUGACCAAAAGUGACAUUACAAUAAAAUACAAGGCCUCCCUGUUUCUCGAAUGGGGAUCUCUCACCAUCACACUUGGACUUUGGGCCAAUCCAAACCCCUGAGCCAGCUGGCGAAUGAUAAUCCAGAAGCCUGAAUGCCAUAGAGCAAUGGGAAAUGCCCUCACUAUAAGGUCUACAGGAAGAUGCCAUGGGAUGCCGGGAAGAUUUGGAAACUUGCCUGUUUGGCCUUAUUUAUUAGCAGAGAACAAACAACAAUCCAACUUGCUGAAUCAUCCCAUUUUAUCUUCAAGAAAUGGAAAUGGCCCAAACGUGUUUAGAGGUACCUUUGCUCUGUCAGCAGAAAGAUACACAGGAACUUUUGUUGCUGAUAAUUGACUCUUUCUAAUAAACCUUGUAUGCCUUCACAGAGCAAAGCUGGGACCAUAUAAGAUCCACAAUCUUUUGCUGCUGAUACUUUUGCCAAUAAAGAAUUUCCAAAAUCCGACAAUGUCAAUCACGGCUGCACUAUUCUUGUUGGAUGGUUGAAGCGUGCAACUUCAGCUUCAAAUCAGUACCAAUCCUGGCUUUGUUGGAAUCUUCUCCUUAAACGUAUAAAUCACCAUUUCCACUUUUUUGCUUCUAGACACUAAGCAAUUUUGCCCUCCCUGCACAGGACAAUUUUGUUUUUCAUCACUGCUGCCAUCAUCAAACACCACUUUAGAAAAUCAAAGUGAAGAAAUUUAGCCCGCAAUUAACUGCACAAUGACCUACCACCAGAACCCAGUUCAACUUCCCACAAAAUAGAUAAGAUGUCAUCAUCUUCCAAUUUCUUCAAGCCUCCAGAGGACUUGCCUAAUGUUUGGUCUAAGGGAGGGUGAAGGAGAACAACAUGCCAUAGCAAGCUGAAAGAAUUUGAGCACAGUUUCCUCAGUAACAGUACUUUCAUUUAUGUCUGGAUGGUAUAAAUCUGUGAUCCUUCUAUCAAGAACUGCAUUUCUCAUGAAAGUUGGCAGAUGAAAAUCAUUAUCAUUGGUUGGAUUCUCAUUGAUUCGUUCCUUCCCUGAAAGUAGUUCAAGCAAGAUUAUCCCAAGGCUGUAUACAUCAGUCUGCUCACUUGCAUCUUUCAUUUUGAUAAGCUCGGGAGCUUUGUAUCCAUCAGCUGCAGAAGCUUCAAGCAUUUCUUGGCCAGCAGUAGGAUUCAACAGGAGAUGCAGGCCGAAGUCCGAUAUGUAUGGUUGGUAAUUGCGAUCCAACAAAAUGUUUUUUAACUUGAGAUUCCCAUGAAUUACAGGCUUCUGAAAUCCUGUGUGAAGAUGAUCCAAUCCUUUGGCUAUGCCAAUAGAUAUCCUAUAUACGAUGGUCCAUUUGUGAGACUCAGCAUUUCCAUCUGCCCAUAAAGAACAUUGUUGGACCAUUCAAGAUUUAUUGCCACUUAAGAGUACUUCAAGUACAAGAAUUUACCUGAAACAGCUAGAAACUUGGUGUCCAAGUUGGAACACAGUCACACAAAGCAACAUUAAAAGCAAGGUUAUUUCAUGAAGGUUAUGAAAGGUAAACCAACAUUAUCUUUUUUUGGGAGAUGUGGAAAGGAAGGGAAAAUGACAAAAGGUCGGUGCCGACAGAUAUAAAUUAAGUAGUGGAGAAACCCAAAAAAUUGACUAGUUGCCCAAUAAGAGUUCUAAAAUAAUGCAGGCAAAACAAGAUUUUGAGUCUAAAUCCAGGUAAAGGGUCUCACUGAAAGUCACACCCCAACCACUUAAUCCCCAAGAAAGAAUAGAUAAAAUAAAUGAACAUAAUUGGAACUUCGGAGAUUAAAAAGGAAAAAAAAAAAUCUACACUUGAUCUGAUUGACCAAGAUCUAUGCAAGUCUGAACAUGCCAAGCCAAAUUAUGGACAACUCUAUUAAUAGAUUAUAUACGCAAUAAAAUAGAAAUUUGAUGAUGCAAAAUCAGUUAGAAAUGAAAAAUCAGUAGAAAGAUGAAAUACGAAAACAAAUUGGCUAUACAUGUUCUAAUUUAUGAGUCCAUUUAUGUUGUAGGGGAACUAAACAUCAAGAAAUUGAAGAAAACACGGGAAAAAAUCAGCCAUUCCUUCCAUCUCGGUUCUAAGACUCUGUCAAGAUAAAGGUUUGUUACCCUGUUUCCAUUAUUGCUCAUUCCUUCUUUUCUUUUCUUUAUUUUUUUAGUUACUUGUGAAAAAAAAAUAGCAAAAACCAAUUUAACGCAAAUAUCAAUCAGCUGAAAGGAGAAUUAGAAAGCAGAGGACUAACAGAAAAAUUAUGAAUCUUAUAGUUUCAUUUUUCCGCUCAGGUGAAGUCAGCAAAUACUUAACUACGUAGAAAUGUCAGGAAAAAACUAACUCAUUUUAUGAAAUUUAUAUGUAGACAUUUUCUCAGCAACCAAACCAAAAAAAAAAUAAUAAUAACAAACUAAUCCACUUACCUCUGAUGAACUGAGCCAAACUGCCACGUCUGAAAAACGGAUGAACAAGAAGCUUUUCCCCACUCGGCCCUGCAUAGAACCCCAAAAGAGGGACUAAAUUAGGGUGUCUAAUGCUGCCCAGCAGCUGUAUCACUUCCCCAAAAUCUUUAGCCCUUGCGAUGCAAACUGGCCUCAAGAACCUAAGCAGCCUCAAACAGUUGCUCCUGUACAACAAGGCCUUGUAUAAGGUACCAUAGUUGGAUUUUCCUAUCACCUCUCCUGGAGCAUCAAGAAUGUCACUGAUUGUAAGGUCUUGCCCCCCUUGGAAUGUCAACAAGUCCUCCCUGUCUGUGUCAUCCCUAUGCUUGAGUUCAGGGCUUUCUACGUCAUUUUGGCCAUUUCCUGCCCUUCUUUUGAAGUAAAGAAAGACGACAAGUAUGAGACUAAUAAAAAUGGUAGCCGAAGUUAGUCCAAGAAGGAGUUUUAGCAAAUGGGUGUUAUUCAUUUCUAGUGACUUGUGAUCCCUAUUAGAUUAGAGCAGUGAGAAAAGAUAAGAUAUCAAGAAGAACUUUUAAAAGUGUAGGAGAGACAAAGAACAGAGAAGUAAGAUCUAGGUACAGUGUGAGAGAGACGGUGAAUAUUGUUGGGUUUUUUUUUUUUUUUUCAAAUAUUGUUGGGUUUAAUGAAAGCCGAGUUUAGGAUUUUCAUGCAAAAGUGUGAGGGGAGAAGACAAGAAGAUGAAGAUAGAAAACUUUCUGGGAGGGGUGUGGAAACCAAGAUUUAUGUGGUUUAUUUGCAAGA
rnacentral:misc_RNA from 1 species